rnacentral:rRNA from 1 species
GGCCUAACACAUGCAAGUCGAGCGGUAGAGAGAAGCUUGCUUUUCUUGAGAGCGGCGGACGGGUGAGUAAUGCCUAGGAAUCUGCCUGGUAGUGGGGGAUAACGUUCGGAAACGGACGCUAAUACCGCAUACGUCCUACGGGAGAAAGCAGGGGACCUUCGGGCCUUGCGCUAUCAGAUGAGCCUAGGUCGGAUUAGCUAGUUGGUGAGGUAAUGGCUCACCAAGGCGACGAUCCGUAACUGGUCUGAGAGGAUGAUCAGUCACACUGGAACUGAGACACGGUCCAGACUCCUACGGGAGGCAGCAGUGGGGAAUAUUGGACAAUGGGCGAAAGCCUGAUCCAGCCAUGCCGCGUGUGUGAAGAAGGCCUUCGGGUUGUAAAGCACUUUCAGCGAGGAGGAAGGGUUCGGUGUUAAUAGCACUGUUCAUUGACGUUACUCGCAGAAGAAG